rnacentral:rRNA from 1 species
UUGUAUCUCGAAAGUAAAAGAUCUAAUUGGUUUAGAUGUUUUUUGUGUCAAAAAAAUUUUUUAAAAUCAUUUAGGUAUGAAAUGUUUUUCGUUUUUACUAAUAUCUAGUAACUUUAGAAAAAAAUUUAGUUUGAAUUGUUGGGAAGGUCUUUAUUUUUAAGAAUCUUUUUAUACAUAUGUAUACUUUAGGGGAUGAGCUCUAGAGUAAAAAUAAAAGAAUAUAUUUUUUUAAAUUUUUAGUAGGCUUAGAAUUGGUUAUAUGAUAGUGUUAUAAGAUAUUACAUAAAGUUUAAGAUUUUUUUUUCUUUAAGAUUUAUAAAGUUAAUAAAAUAAUAGAAUAAGUUUUGAAAAUAUGGUAGUAUUAGUAGAUUAAAAAUAAAUGAAAAUUUUUUAAAUUUUUCAAUAUAAAUAAAUAAAAAAAUUAAAAUAAAAGAACUCGGCAAAUAAGAUUUCCGAAUGUUUAACAAAAACAUUUCCUCUUGAUAUAAGGGAGGUAAGGCCUGCUCACUGAAAUUUAAAGAGCCGCAGUAUUUUGACUGUGCUAAGGUAGCAUAAUCAUUAGUCUUUUAAUUGGAGACUGGUAUGAAUGGCUAAACGAGAAAUCCCCUUUUUUUAUUUUAGACUUUGAACUUCACCUCUCAGUGAAAAGGCUGAGGUAAUUCAGAAAGACGAGAAGACCCUAUAGAGUUUUAUAUUUUUUAAAAUUAUAUUUUAAUGGAUUUUUGAAAAUGGAAUUUUUAAAAAAUAUUUUGUUGGGGCGACAUUAAGAUAAGAAAAACUCUUUAUUUUAAAGACUUUAAUGAAAGAAUAUAUUGAUCCUUUAGAAAAGAUCAAAAGAAAAAAUUACCUUAGGGAUAACAGCGUAAUCUUUUUGGAGAG